GCGGGAGUAGCUCAGUUGGUAGAGCGCCAGCCUUCCAAGCUGGAUGUCGCGGGUUCGAGCCCCGUCUCCCGCU
rnacentral:tRNA from 1 species